UUGGGGUUUGCAGGUUUUAGAGCUGGGUAAGACAUUAACAUUUUUUCUCUUGCCAGCUUGCAUAGCAUCUUCUGGUACAUGAGUUAUCCCUCAGAAAGCUGGCUUCCAGAGAUUGGGGCCUCACUAUUUCCUUGGCUGUUCUCCAACUGAUGAAAUCAAGCAAUCCUCCUCUUCAGUUUCUGAAAAGCUGAGAUUAUAGGCACACAUAAUCGUGUCACAUUUCAAAUAUAUUUAAAAAAUCAUUUGGAAAAUGGAAAUAACUUAGUCUCAAUGUAACUGCAUUAUAGUUAAAUAUUCUACCCCCCCCCCCGAGCAGUGUCAUCAGAUCAGCAUAUACAUUUUCUGAAGGACCCAAAUGGUUUAAGAAAUAUAUGUACUCUCUUGCAAAUAGAGUUUCUUGUCUAUAAGUAAUCAAGAUUCUGAACUCAAUCCUAAGGACAAAGAAGGAGGAGGAGGAGGACAAGGAGGAGGAGGAGGAAGAGGAGGAGGACAAGGAGGAGGAAGAGGAGGACAAGGAGGAGGAGGAGGAGGAGAAAAAGUGGUCAUAUUUUGUCUGUAAUUUUUUUAUUUUAAACUUAUGUUUUAAGUUUUUUUCCUUUAUUUUUUGGAUUUUUUUUAGUAAUAUUAUAUUUUGUUUACCAAAAUCCUCAUCACUGAAGAUCUUACCAGGAUAGUAAGUGUAAGAAUAGUAGCUAAAAUUUC